AUGCCCUGCCGCAAGAACGCUUAGACUCUCUGGUCUCUUCCAGACAUACUUUUGUGUCCCUGGAAUCCAGGAAACUCUGGCUACCUGCAGUGUGGAGAAGCAGCUGGCCGGGCCAGGACCCGGGGCCCCUCCCUGGAGGGAGCAAAUGCCUCUCCGGCUGCAGCUGCGGAAAGAGGGAGGAGACUCGGGGGACAGGAUGGUGAGCUGUGGAGGCAGUGGUUUGGAUUUUAACUCGGCACUACUGGGAGCCAUGGAGUUGGAGCACAGUUAGCUGUUCUUGAACGUCUUCAAACAGCUCAAGUCAUGUUGGAAACCCACAACCCAAACGUUUAACUGGAGUAUCUAAAUCCUUUUAAAAAUGGGGCGCCUAGGUGGCUCAGUCGAUCGAUGAAGCCUCUGCCUUCAGCUCAGGUCACAAUCCCGGGGUCUUUGGAUCGAGAGCCCCGCAUCGGGUUCCCUGCUUAGGAAGUAGCCCGCUUCUCCCUCUGCCUGCUGCUCCCCCUGCUUG